UGAUCCUGGCUCAGGAUGAACGCUGGCGGCGUGCCUAACACAUGCAAGUCGAGCGAGGGUUUGCUCAGUAUUGAGUAUUCUAAGUCUAGAAUGUUCAAUUCUGAGCAAAACCAAGCGGCGGACGGGUGAGUAACGCGUGGGUAACCUGCCCUAUACACAUGGAUAACAUACUGAAAAGUUUACUAAUACAUGAUAAUAUAUAUUUGCGGCAUCGCAGAUAUAUCAAAGUGUUAGCGGUAUAGGAUGGACCCGCGUCUGAUUAGCUAGUUGGUGAGAUAACUGCCCACCAAGGCGACGAUCAGUAGCCGACCUGAGAGGGUGAUCGGCCACAUUGGAACUGAGACACGGUCCAAACUCCUACGGGAGGCAGCAGUGGGGAAUAUUGCACAAUGGGCGAAAGCCUGAUGCAGCAACGCCGCGUGAACGAUGAAGGUCUUCGGAUCGUAAAGUUCUGUUGCAGGGGAAGAUAAUGACGGUACCCUGUGAGGAAGCCCCGGCUAACUACGUGCCAGCAGCCGCGGUAAUACGUAGGGGGCUAGCGUUAUCCGGAUUUACUGGGCGUAAAGGGUGCGUAGGUGGUCCUUCAAGUCGGUGGUUAAAGGCUACGGCUCAACCGUAGUAAGCCGCCGAAACUGGAGGACUUGAGUGCAGGAGAGGAAAGUGGAAUUCCCAGUGUAGCGGUGAAAUGCGUAGAUAUUGGGAGGAACACCAGUAGCGAAGGCGGCUUUCUGGACUGCAACUGACACUGAGGCACGAAAGCGUGGGUAGCAAACAGGAUUAGAUACCCUGGUAGUCCACGCUGUAAACGAUGAGUACUAGGUGUCGGGGGUUACCCCCCUCGGUGCCGCAGCUAACGCAUUAAGUACUCCGCCUGGGGAGUACGCACGCAAGUGUGAAACUCAAAGGAAUUGACGGGGACCCGCACAAGCAGCGGAGCAUGUGGUUUAAUUCGAAGCAACGCGAAGAACCUUACCUAAGCUUGACAUCCCUCGGACAGGUGUUUAAUCACACCCUUCCUUCGGGACUGAGGUGACAGGUGGUGCAUGGUUGUCGUCAGCUCGUGUCGUGAGAUGUUGGGUUAAGU
rnacentral:rRNA from 1 species